GUGCUUGCUCAGCAGCACAGACACCAGAACUGGGGCACAGAGUACAGUCACGGGGGCCCUGCACAGGGGUGAUGCUCAAACUCCUGAAGCUCUCUGUACUCUU
rnacentral:snRNA from 1 species